rnacentral:rRNA from 1 species
CCUACGGGAGGCAGCAGUGGGGAAUAUUGGACAAUGGGGGGAACCCUGAUCCAGCGACGCCGCGUGAGUGAAGAAGUAUUUCGGUAUGUAAAGCUCUAUCAGCAGGGAAGAAAGAAAUGACGGUACCUGACUAAGAAGCCCCGGCUAACUACGUGCCAGCAGCCGCGGUAAGACGUAGGGGGCAAGCGUUAUCCGGAUUUACUGGGUGUAAAGGGAGCGUAGACGGCGAUGCAAGUCUGAAGUGAAAGGCGGGGGCCCAACCCCCGGACUGCUUUGGAAACUGUAUGGCUGGAGUGCAGGAGAGGUAAGUGGAAUUCCUAGUGUAGCGGUGAAAUGCGUAGAUAUUAGGAGGAACACCCGUGGCGAAGGCGGCUUACUGGACUGUAACUGACGUUGAGGCUCGAAAGCGUGGGGAGCAAACAGGAUUAGAUACCCGAGUAGUC